GAUGAACGCUAGCUACAGGCUUAACACAUGCAAGUCGAGGGGCAGCACGAACAAAGCUUGCUUUGUUUGAUGGCGACCGGCGCACGGGUGCGUAACACGUAUCCAAUCUGCCCGCGGCUCGGGGAUAGCCCAUCGAAAGAUGGAUUAAUACCCGAUGGCGUGGUCACCCCGCAUGGGGUUUCCACUAAAGGUUUUCCGGCCGCGGAUGAGGAUGCGUAUGAUUAGGUAGUAGGCGGGGUAACGGCCCACCUAGCCUUCGAUCAUUAGGGGUUCUGAGAGGAAGGUCCCCCACACUGGAACUGAGACACGGUCCAGACUCCUACGGGAGGCAGCAGUGAGGAAUAUUGGUCAAUGGGCGAGAGCCUGAACCAGCCAAGUAGCGUGAAGGAAGACUGCCCUAUGGGUUGUAAACUUCUUUUGUUCGGGAAUAAAGUGCAGUAUGUAUACUGUUUUGUAUGUACCGUUCGAAUAAGCAUCGGCUAAUUCCGUGCCAGCCGCCGCUGUAAAAC
rnacentral:rRNA from 1 species